ACAUUUAAGAAGUCAAGUUCUUCAUUUUGAUUUUCCCUUCUCAAUUUACAACCCCCCCACCCCAAACCACGCGGGACCUGUGGUGGAGGGAGAGUUGAGGCGGAGAAGCGUCGAGAGGUUUUAAAGCAACUUGGGAGGAACUUGGUGAUGAGUUGAGCUCAGGGUGUCCAGGCGGUGGCCGGAGGGUGGGACGACCCCUCGGCCAGGCGGGGAGGGCGGAGGGCCGAGCGAGCAGCUUGGCGGCAGGGUGCAGCGGGUCAUUGUUUCCCGGCCGCUCCUCCCCGCCGGUCCGGCGUCACUGGCGGGGCGCCCGGGGCGGGCGGCGGGUUAUUUAUAGCGCUGGCUGCGCGCAUCACGGAGCCCGGCCCGGCUGACGGGGCCGCUGACGCGCUUGGCCGGGGCCGAGGGCGCGGGGUGCGCGCGGGCGGCGACAAUGGGCCGGAGCGCGCGCCUCGCUGGCCUCCGUGGGCCGUUCUCCGGCCCCCGCCCUCGGCUCCGCGCCCCCGCGGGGUGGCGGGCCUCGGCCCUGGGACUCAGCUCGGCGGUCCGCGCUCCUUGCUGCGCGCCCGGACUGCACGAGGAGCUGGAGCCGGCUGCGCGACCACUCUGCUCCCGGGGACGCGGCGACCUGGGGCCGGGAGCGCCGGCCAGGAAUCCGAGGUGGGUGUGGAGAGCCAGAGAGGGAGAGAAACUUCGGUGAGACCAGCCCCAACACGCUCCUCCCGAGAGGACGGCGCGACUCGGGCACCAUGUCGUCCGCCUCCCUAGCCCCUCCCCGGCCACUCCUUCCCCUCGUCUCCCCUAUACAGACGACCAGGACCCCCACUCGCGGGCUCCCAUCCUGGCCCGCCCAAGCCCACUGUCGCGCUGGCAGGGACUUUUAGGGACUUGUGGGCCGCGGAGGCCAACCCUGAGCCCUGCCCUUCCGGCUGCUCUGCAGCCCCUCGCACGUGGCAGGCAGGCAGGCUGGCUGAGAACUUGCUGUGCCUUCUAGGAAAUUGCAAUCGAUUUGUAAUGCACUUUCGCUAAUUGGGAGUUCAAAAUUAAACUUUAAUAAAGCAUUUGUGUCGUCUCGUCUAAUUGUGAAA
rnacentral:lncRNA from 1 species